UUUCCUACGGGAGGCAGCAGUGAGGAAUAUUGGUCAAUGGCCGGAAGGCUGAACCAGCCAAGCCGCGUGAAGGACGAAGGUGCCAAGCAUUGUAAACUUCUUUUGUCAAGGGACAAAAUCAGGCUCGAGAGCCUGACCGAGGGUACCUGAAGAAAAAGCAUCGGCUAACUCCGUGCCAGCAGCCGCGGUAAUACGGAGGAUGCGAGCGUUAUCCGGAUUUAUUGGGUUUAAAGGGUGCGUAGGCGGGUUAUCAAGUCAGCGGUAAAAUCGUGGAGCUCAACUCCAUCCAGCCGUUGAAACUGAUG
rnacentral:rRNA from 1 species